UACGUAGGGGGCAAGCGUUAUCCGGAUUUACUGGGUGUAAAGGGAGCGUAGGUGGCAAGGCAAGUCAGAUGUGAAAACCCGGGGCCCAACCCCGGGAGUGCAUUUGAAACUGUCUGGCUAGAGUGCAGGAGAGGUAAGUGGAAUUCCUAGUGUAGCGGUGAAAUGCAUAGAUAUUACACAGAACACCGAUUGCGAAGGCAGCUUGCUAGGCCGGAUCUGACACUGAUGCACGAAAGCGUGGGGAUCGAACAGG
rnacentral:rRNA from 1 species